GCCUUGCGCCCUCCCAUCGACCUGCCCGGCCUCGGCGUUAUCGACCGCUCCAAUUUGCAGGAAUUUAUGCCCAAGCUUCUGAGAGACUGCCACAUUUGGAGUGUGACAGCAUACCACACCAUGCCUGGGAUAAACCAAGAUGCCUUGCUUUGUUGCCUCAAGGAAGAGAAAGAAGACCAGGCCCCCAGGGCUUUUCAAGCUAAAUAUGAGUCUUAGUGGAGAGGAGAG